rnacentral:rRNA from 1 species
CACGGCCUCACACAUGCAAGUCGAACGGUGGUCGCAAUCACAUAGUGGCGCACGGGUGCGUCACACGUAGCUAACCUGCCCAGAACUGGGGGAUAGCCCGGCGAAAGGCGGAUUAACACCGCAUAAUAUCUACUGGUGGCAUCACUGGUUGAUUAAAUCUACGGAGGUUCUGGAUGGGGCUGCGGGUCAUUAGCUAGUUGGUUGGGUAACGGCUGANCAAGGCGACGAUGACUAGGGGACGCUGAGACGGCUGGUNCCCCCACACGGGCACUGAGAUACGGGCCCGACUCCUACGGGAGGCAGCAGUAGGGAAUAUUGGGCAAUGGGCGAGAAGCUGANCCCAGCCAUGCCGCGUGCAGGAAGAAGGCUUUCUGAGUCGUAAACUGCUUUUGAUAGGGAAGAAUAAGCGCUACGUGUAGCGUGAUGACGGUACCUACAGAAUAAGCAGCGGCUAACUCCGUGGCAGCAGCCGCGGUAAUAAU